CUGUGUGUCUGUGUGUCUGUCUGUGUGUCUGUGGUUGCUGUUAGUUUAAUAAUACAUUCAGCUCCAGAGGGGGAGGAGUCACCCUCGCUCUGUGAUUCGGCCUUUAAGAGGAAAAAGUUGUUCAGUUUGGAGUUCACAGUUUCAGUACAUUGUGCCAAAGUGACAGUAGGAAUGUAACCAGAUCAGAUUUUAACCAUCUCAGAAAAUAUCAUAAUAAUAUAAUAACAUCCUGAAAAGAGUGUCAGACGUUGUUCUCUCCUCUGCAGCACCUGAAGGACAAGUUCUGGAACUUCAUCUUCUACAAGUUCAUCUUGGUGUUCGGCGUCCUGAACGUGCAGAUGGUGGAGGAGGUGGUGAUGUGGUGGCUCUGGUUCUCACCUCCUGGUUCAGCUCUGUAAGGACCGCUUCGAAUAUUGUUGGUGACCGUGAGGACGACACACGUCAUGUUUCGGUCUUCUGAACAUCUGGUUGUCCAAGUCUCGUGAUCUUCAUGCAGCUUCGUUUCCUCGUUCAGGAGGUUCAGAAGAGAAUCCGCCGCCACCACAACUACCUGCAAGUCCUCCGCAACAUGGAGACCGGGUUUUCUGUGGCGUCCGCAGAUGAGCUGGCAGCCAAUAACGACGACUGUGCGAUCUGCUGGGAUGUGAUGAGUUCGGCUCGGAAACUGCCCUGUGGUCACCUCUUCCACAGGUCUCCAAUCAGCCGCUCAUCCAGGUGACUCCUCCCCCCAAGGACGAGGGCGGAGCGACAGGAGCUGCUGCAGCGAGCACGCAGGGACUACCUGACCAGGAGCACCAGGUCCUCGGAUGGCAGCGCGUUGACCUUCGACACCAUGACCCUGCGACGAGAAACAUUAGCAGCAGCAGCAGAGCGGCGUCUGCAGAGGCAGUCUGACUCCGCCCACUGAGCCCAGACAGGAAGCCUCUGCUAAUGAUAAUGCUAACAAGAGCCACAGACCAUCGUACAGGAACUACAUUGAUCACUGAAGACCAGGAGCCGUCGAAUCAAAGCAGUUUCUCCCAAUGUCAGUAGAAAUGUUGGAGGUUUGAGCAGCUGGAUGCACAUUAACUGAACUCUGAACCGUUUUAACGUCCGGAGCUUCAUGUAGCUUCAGUUCCUCCAGCCAGAGAAGAUGUUAGGGAGGAACUGCUCCUCCAAACCAUCCUGUGGCUGUGGGGGCUGCGUAUCAAACAACACUAAAACCUCUCAAAUAUCAAAAUUUGUCAUCAGAUUCGUGACAGAAGUUUCAGUCAACUUAUUUUGUCACACGUAUGUUGAGGUUAACACAUUCAUUUAGGCGCUUUUAUUGCUGAUGGAAGCCGUGUUUGUAUUCAGCGAAUUAAAAUCUGAGAAAGUUUAGUUUCUCUGAUAUUCGAGCCUCGUGGAAUCGAACUUCCUUCUCUGUGGCUGCAAUGCAUUCAGGUUCCUCUUUCUCUAAAUUGAUCUCUGCGUCCUCGUCCAGUGUUUCGAACCAGGAUUUAUCAGUUUGUUACCUUAGUUAAGUUACCUUAACAAUAAAUACUUGAGUUACUCGUUCUUAAAUAUCUUUAAU